CCCUAAAUCUCGAUGCUUAACUCACCAAAGCAUCCGCCUGAGAACUACGAGCACAAACGCUUAAAACUCUAAGGACUUGGCGGUGCCCCAAACCCACCUAGAGGAGCCUGUUCUAUAAUCGAUACCCCACGAUAUACCCGACCGCUCCUUGCCAGAGCAGCCUACAUACCGCCGUCGCCAGUUCACCUUUCCUGAGAGCACAACAGUGAGCACAAUAGCCUCAACCUCGCUAAUACGACAGGUCAAGGUAUAGCCCAUGGAGCGGAAGAAAUGGGCUACAUUUUCUAAAUUAGAAAACUCCACGAAAAGGGGCGUGAAACCACCCCUAGAAGGCGGAUUUAGCAGUAAAGUGGGACAAUAAAGCCCCC
rnacentral:rRNA from 1 species